UUGAUGAUUGAGCCUUUCUUUGUUGAGAGGAUUGUACUUUAGUCAUGGUGGAAAAGCCUGCAGAAAGGCGAGACUUUGUUGAUGGUGUUCUCCAAUCGCGAGUCAAGUUUGUCAAGUGAAUCCUACCGCUCCUUGUUGCUGCAGUAAAACACAGAUUAGGUGUGCAUGAUGUUAGCAGAAAAUAGCAGGCGUACCUGUCCCUUGUGCAGUGCCAGUUCCAGAUUGCUUUGAAAAAUGGAAUCCUGCGUGUGGCUGAAACUGGCCUUACUUUAUGAUGUUUUCCAAUAUGUUUUGGUUGAAACAUUCAUAUAUAAUGCGAAGGGAGAAAUGUGGGGUCAUACAUAUCCUGAAGCUGCAUUAUUGGUCCCUGGCACUGGUGCAUAAGCCAAGUGAAACAUGUUCAUCGCCUCGCAGCCUUGGCCCCUUUCAUCAGCCAAGUGAACAUGUUCCUUUAUAUUAAAAAAAGAUUAAAAAAAAACAUGUUCAUCCCAUCUCAUCGCAGCUUGCACAAAGUGAACGUAUUUCCUCUCUAUGCAGAGACCAUCACCCACAGUUUCAGUGCAGGCGCACAACACCGAUCAUGGUGCUGGACUGGCAUCUC
rnacentral:lncRNA from 1 species